AUUGAACGCUGGCGGCAGGCUUAACACAUGCAAGUCGAGCGGGGUGAUGGUGCUUGCACUAUCACUUAGCGGCGGACGGGUGAGUAAUGCUUAGGAAUCUGCCUAUUAGUGGGGGACAACAUCCCGAAACGGAUGCUAAUACCGCAUACGUCCUACGGGAGAAAGCAGGGGAUCACUUGUGACCUUGCGCUAAUAGAUGAGCCUAAGUCGGAUGAGCUAGUGGGUGGGGUAAAGGCCUACCAAGGCGACGAUCUGUAGCGGGUCUGAGAGGAUGAUCCGCCACACUGGGACUGAGACACGGCCCAGACUCCUACGGGAGGCAGCAGUGGGGAAUAUUGGACAAUGGGGGGAACCCUGAUCCAGCCAUGCCGCGUGUGUGAAGAAGGCCUUAUGGUUGUAAAGCACUUUAAGCGAGGAGGAGGCUCUUUUGGUUAAUACCCAAGAUGAGUGGACGUUACUCGCAGAAUAAGCACCGGCUAACUCUGUGCCAGCCGCCGCGGUAA
rnacentral:rRNA from 1 species